AGUGAACGUUGGCGGCGUGGAUUAGGCAUGCAAGUCGAGCGAUCGUAGCAAUACGGGAGCGGCAAACGGGGUAGGAAUACAUCGGAACGUACCUUUUGGUUGAGAAUAGCGUUGGGAAACUGACGGUAAUACUCAAUAAAGUCGAGAGACCAAAGGUUUACUGCCGGAAGAGCGGCCGAUGCGAUAUUAGGUAGUUGGUGGGGUAAUGGCCUACCAAGCCUGAGAUGUCUAGGGGGUGUGAGAGCAUGGCCCCACCACUGGGACUGAGAUACUGCCCAGACACCUACGGGUGGCUGCAGUCGAGGAUCUUCGUCAAUGGGCGAAAGCCUGAACGAGCGACGCCGCGUGCGGGAUGAAGGCCCUUGGGUUGUAAACCGCUGUCAGGGGGGAUGAAACCGUAAGGUUGACAGAGCCCCAGAGGAAGCACGGGCUAAGUCGUGCCAGCAGCCGCGGU
rnacentral:rRNA from 1 species